rnacentral:rRNA from 1 species
AAUGAACGUUGGUGGCGUGGAUUAGGCAUGCAAGUCGAGCGAUGAAGCCUCUUCGGAGGUGGAUUAGCGGCAAACGGGGUAGUCAUACAUCGGUGACGUACCCCCAGGACCGGGAUAGCCAUUGGAAACGAUGAUUAAUACCGGAUAAUCUCUUGAGUUUGAAGUCUCUUGAGCAAAUGUUUUUCGCCUGGGGAGCGGCUGGUGCGGUACUAGUUAGUUGGUGAGGUAACGGCUCACCAAGACGAAGAUGCCCAGGGGGUGUGAGAGCAUGGCCCCCACCACCGGGACUGAGACACUGCCCGGACAUCUACGGAUGGCUGCAGUCGAGAAUCUUCCACAAUGGGCGAAAGCCUGAUGGAGCGACGCCACGUGCGGGACGAAGGCCCUUGGGUUGUAAACCGCUGUCAGAGGGGAUGAAAGCCUUUAUGGUUUGACAGAGCCUCAAAGGAAGCGCGGGCUAAGUACG